rnacentral:rRNA from 1 species
UGAGGAAUAUUGGUCAAUGGACGAGAGUCUGAACCAGCCAAGUAGCGUGCAGGAUGACGGCCCUAUGGGUUGUAAACUGCUUUUGUUUGGGAAUAAUCGACAUUACGUGUAAUGUUUUGCAUGUACCAUUCGAAUAAGGACCGGCUAAUUCCGUGCCAGCAGCCGCGGUAAUACGGAAGGUCCAGGCGUUAUCCGGAUUUAUUGGGUUUAAAGGGAGUGUAGGUGGUUGGUUAAGCGUGUUGUGAAAUGUAGGAGCUCAACUUCUAGAUUGCAGCGCGAACUGUCAGACUUGAGUGCGCACAACGUAGGCGGAAUUCAUGGUGUAGCGGUGAAAUGCUUAGAUAUCAUGAAGAACUCCGAUUGCGAAGGCAGCUUACGGGAGCGCAACUGACGCUGAAGCUCGAAGGUGCGGGUAUCGAACAGG